ensembl:lncRNA
CUCCCGUGGUGGCACGGCCGGCUGCGUGCCCUCGCCAUGGGCUCUGGCCCGCUGCAUAGGGAUAGCACGGGGCAGGAGGCUCCCAAAGCCAAGGGCCCCGUAGUGGUACCGUCGUCUCACGAUGCUCCUUCCUGGCAUUUCAGAUGAGACAGAAGUCUCGUCUUGGGAAAGCGCGUGUGAAUCCUAAUGCUGCCUGAUAGCCCCAGGCUCCUCAGCUGACGGCGUAAAGUUGGAAUUUCCACUGUUAAUACCCAAACUGUGCUACCGUCAGUCCCAAAGAAACAGGAGAUCCAUUGGUCUGACGGAGUACAACACUUUCUUGUUAAGUCAUCUCUGAGCUCGUUCUCCAGAAAAUUUCUCAUGCACAGCACAGUCCAGCUUUGAAGAAACAGGACAAACGUUCCCUCCUGAGCUGAGGAGUGCUGAAUUUCAAGAAGAAAACAAACAACAAAAAAGCCCGCUUGCGUGAUGAUCACACUUUUAGCAGGAGUGACCUCUGAGUACCCGUUUUCCCUCAUGGACAAACAGAGAAGGCUAUGUAUUGUGUCAGAUCUCUUGCUUGACUGCUUAACGUCACGAUGACCAUAUGGAGAAAUGUUACUGAGUGGUCUGAGGACCCGUUUGGUACCAUCUGGCUUAUAGAAUGGAGGCAGAAGAGCCAAGCCAUGACUAGCCAGCUGCUCCGUUCUGGGCCAAGAAUCCUGGCUCCAAUAGGAAAGAAUGAAGGCCUAAGCCAACAUCCAACCCAACAUACUCUCAGCCUGGGCCCAAACACAGAACUUCCAGGUGCAAACUUCACUAUCUGUCUUCAAUAGAAACAGGAAAUCAGUAAGGGAAGUUGCAUUUCACACAGAUUAGCAUGAACUAAGUUCAGUUUUGCGUGCACUCACUUUGGACAACAUAGUUCCAACCUGGUGAAGCUGGAGCUGAAUAGUUACAGCUAGAAGGCAAUGCUGUCCCUUUUCUUUCUGGUUACCACAGUAGCCCACACCUGGAUACUGAAGUAGCCCUGGGCAACCACCUCUCACACGAGCGUGGAAUCAUUUUCCACAUAACACUGAGCUUUAUUUCUGGAUCCAUUCUCCAAAGGAGCCUUCUGAGGGGCCC